CAGCCUGGGUGACAGAGCAAGACUCCGUCUCAAAAAUAAAAAAUAAAAAUACAAAAAUAAAUAAGCAACUACACAGAUAUAAGAUGAAAGUGCAGCAGCAGCAAAAAUCUUAAGAAUUUUAUUUGCUAGUAAUCUCACCAAGAGGCUAGUUAAUCAGUACUAUGUGGGCGCAGACAUCCAGCCAGCUGGAAAGCCAGCCAGCUCUGCUCACCUCUGGGUACUCUCCACCGUGGUCACUAAGGCUUUCCAACCCAAUAAUAGAUAGAGCGCGGAGGCACCGGACACAGGGGACAGCACUUGUCGGCAGAAUCAUGGCCCCAUGUCACGCUUGUGGUUAGCGGAAUCAUGGCCCCCUGCCCAGGCCCUGACACAGGCACCAGAACCUGUGUACGUGUUGCCUUACACAGCAAAAGGGAUUUUGCAUAUGCAAUGAAGUCAAAGAUCUAAGGGCCUGGAGGUAAGCAGAGAUCAUGCUGGAUUAUCUAGUUGGACCCACUGCAAUCACGAGUCCCUAGAGGUGAAGAGUCCUUCUCCCUGGAGACGGGAGAAGAAAAGAUUCAAAGGUGAGAGAUUCAAUGUAUUGUUGCUGGAGUUGCAGACAGAAGAGGGGGCCACAAGCCGAGCCAUGUGGUUGCCCUGAGAAGCUAAAAAGGCCCUCUGCUGACAGCCAACGUGAAUAUGAGGAUCUCAGUCCUACAGUCACAAAGAACUGAACUCUGCCCAUGACUGGAUUGGGCGAGGACCAGAUCUCCUUGUAAACAUGCAAAUAGUACUUACUAGUGGAAAGAAGCCUGGGAACCCCUAUCUAAAAGCACAGAAUAGCUGGGCACAGUGGCUCACACCUGUAAUCGCAGAACCUUGGGAGGCUGAGGUGGGUGGAUCACUUGAGGCCAGGAGUUUGAGAACAGCCCAGCCAACAUGGGAUGCAUCUCUCUGCCUAGUGUUUUUGUUAUUGAAUCAUUAGUAAAGUUUGACAUUAGGUAAGAUCUAUAGAUCCUAUGGAUGUCUGCUUUGAAGAUUCAAAUCCUUGCAUUAACACAAUCUCUGUAUUAUUCUAAUGCAUACUUCAAUUUAGGAGCUGUUUCUUCUUAGGGAAUUCAUGCAUCCAGCAUCUAAAAGUGAGUUCCAAGAGAUGCUCUGGGUAAAAAGAAGGGAGGGAGACAGACAGGGGUGGGAAAUGAUUUCUCUGUGGCUAGUAUAUUAAGACAUUAAUAAGAUGCUAACUACAUCCUUCCCUAGUUUAUUCCUAUUAGAGCUUGUUUAUCAGUGGCCCUUCAGAGCCCUGCUGGAAUAACUCACUAUUUCCCAAACCUUCUCACUCACAGAACCUUUUCAGUUCCUGUUCUUUGGAAACACUUUGGGAAAUUUUUGAGGCCAGGAGUUCCAAGCUGCAGUGUGUGAUUAUCGUGUCUGUGAAUGGCCACGGCACUCCAGCCUGGGCAACAUAGCAAGACCUCAUCUCUUUAAAAAAGACAGGUCUGAGCAGCUCCUAGGGGCCAAUCCCUAUUCGAGGCAACAGCAGAGGGAAGACAAGAAGAUGGCUACAUGCACCCACCACCUGACUGCAGCAGCUCACAGGCCCCCCAGGGCUGGCAUUGCCUGACCCAGGGAAUGUGGCAAGGGGUGCCACCAAGGCAAACACAGGAGGAAUCUUUAGACGGUGUGCUGGUCCCCACACCAGCCUCUGACUUGAAGUGCCUCCAUUCCCCUAGCAAAUGCAUGAAACAAAAGUUGUGCAGGCCUCACGUCUGAUUGAUUCUCUUCUCUUUGUGGACAUACGUUAGACUUAGAAAUAAACUCGUAUUAAAAG
rnacentral:lncRNA from 1 species